rnacentral:lncRNA from 1 species
AGCAAGCUUGGUCCUGUUGGUGGAGUCCUCGUGGACGCCGAGCUUGAGGUUCUUGGAGAAAGCCUCAUAGAACUUGUUGUAGUCCUCCUUGUUCUCAGCAAUCUCAAAGAAGAGCUCGAUGCACUUCUUCACAAGGUUCUUCCUGAUGACCUUGAGGAUCUUGUUCUGCUGGAGUGUCUCACGAGAGAUGUUGAGGGGGAGAUCCUCAGAGUCAACAAUGCCCUUGACGAAGCUCAGCCACUCUGGGAUCAGCUCCUCACAGUUGUCCAUGAUGAAGACACGGCGCACAUAGAGCUUGAUGUUGUUGAGCUUCUUCCUGGUGUCAAAGAGGUCAAAGGGGGCCCUCUUGGGAACGAAGAGGACGGCCUUGAACUCAAGCUGACCCUCCACCGAGAAGUGCUUGACGGCAAGGUGCUCCUCCCAGUCGUUUGUCAGGCUCUUGUAGAAGGCAGCAUACUCCUCCUUGGUGAUCUCCUCAGGCUUCCUCAUCCAGAUGGGCUUCUGCUUGUUGAUCAGGUUCCACUCGUGAGAAACCUCCUUGAUCUUCUUCUUUUUCUUCUCCUUUUCUUCCUUCUCUUCAUCAAUUUCCUCAACCUUGCCCUCCUCAGUAUCCUUCUUCUCA